rnacentral:misc_RNA from 1 species
CGAGCGUCAUUUACAACCCUCAAGUUCUGCUUGGUAUUAAGUCUCACCUAUAAUGGCGGGCUAUAAAAUCAAUGGCGGUGCAUCUGGCUUCAAGCGUAGUAAAUUUUUCUCGCUUUGGGGACCUGCUAUGUACCUGCUAAACACCAAUUUUAUUUAUAAAGGUUGACCUCGGAUCAGGUAGGGAUACCCGCUGAACUUAA